rnacentral:rRNA from 1 species
GGGGAAUAUUGGACAAUGGGCGAAAGCCUGAUCCAGCCAUGCCGCGUGUGUGAAGAAGGUCUUCGGAUUGUAAAGCACUUUAAGUUGGGAGGAAGGGUUUCUGGCUAAUAUCCAGGAAUUUUGACGUUACCGACAGAAUAAGCACCGGCUAACUACGUGCCAGCAGCCGCGGUAAUACGUAGGUGGCAAGCGUUGUCCGGAAUUAUUGGGCGUAAAGCGCGCGCAGGUGGUUUCUUAAGUCUGAUGUGAAAGCCCACGGCUUAACCGUGGAGGGUCAUUGGAAACUGGGAGACUUGAGUGCAGAAGAGGAAAGUGGAAUUCCAAGUGUAGCGGUGAAAUGCGUAGAGAUUUGGAGGAACACCAGUGGCGAAGGCGACUUUCUCGUCUGCAACUGACGCUGAGGCGCGAAAGCGUGGGGAGCAAACA